UCCUUCCUUUGCCUUCUCUCUCUCUUCCUUGCUCUUAAUUUCAAUCCUUGCUCUCUUCUAAUUACCACUUUCUUUCCUGCUCUUCUAAUUACCGGACCAAUUUCUCCCCUUCGCUUGCUUACACCUUGCAGCACAACUCAGGAAUCAAGUUAAUUCUUGAAAAAUUGAAACUUGCGGAAGAAAGGCAAAUGGAAGGAAGGGACUCACUUUGGUAUCUCUGAACAGCUAUUCCACUUUGGAUUGGGCAAGGAUGAAUGGACAGUUGAUAAAAGCCAUUUCUCCACGAGUUAUGGAAACAUAUUGAUAUGCAGCAUUACGGUAUCUAGAGUUAAGGCUUCUGGGAUCCCUUCUGAUGAGAAAGUGAAGUUUGCAUAUGCAAUCAACAUAAGAAAGCUAGUCAAGCCACCACUACCAGCAGGAUACUGGGGAAUUCUGACCAAGGCUGAAGACCAUGUCGAUCAACCGAUAUAUAAAACAGCAGAAUUGAUCAACAAGAGCAAAUACAAUGUAUCUGAUGAAUAUGUUCGAUCAUUUAUCGAUUUUCAGGAGCUAAAUUAUCAUGAAGGGACCACAGUAGGAGCAAAGGUGAGUGGAAUUACUGAUUGGAGACACUUAGGCCAUCCACAGUGGACUUUGGUUGGGGAGGUCCUGUUACAGUUUUUCCUCUGUCAAGAAACCUACUUGGAAGCGUUGAGCCCCGUUUCUUUUUGCCCUAUUCUUCAGCAAAUGAAGGGGAAAAGGAUGGUUGUAAACUUUCUGUGUGUUUGCAAGAACAUGCUGUUUCAGGUUUCAAAGAAGACAUGAAUAAGUUGAAGAAUUUAGAGCCUGGAUUCCUUUGAAUGAAGGGUUUCUUGUUA